rnacentral:rRNA from 1 species
GGGUUGUGAGGUUAAGCGACUAAGCGUACACGGUGGAUGCCCUGGCAGUCAGAGGCGAUGAAGGACGUGCUAAUCUGCGAUAAGCGUCGGUAAGGUGAUAUGAACCGUUAUAACCGGCGAUUUCCGAAUGGGGAAACCCAGUGUGUUUCGACACACUAUCAUUAACUGAAUCCAUAGGUUAAUGAGGCGAACCGGGGGAACUGAAACAUCUAAGUACCCCGAGGAAAAGAAAUCAACCGAGAUUCCCCCAGUAGCGGCGAGCGAACGGGGAGGAGCCCAGAGCCUGAAUCAGUGUGUGUGUUAGUGGAAGCGUCUGGAAAGGCGCGCGAUACAGGGUGACAGCCCCGUACACAAAAAUGCACAUGCUGUGAGCUCGAUGAGUAGGGCGGGACACGUGGUAUCCUGUCUGAAUAUGGGGGGACCAUCCUCCAAGGCUAAAUACUCCUGACUGACCGAUAGUGAACCAGUACCGUGAGGGAAAGGCGAAAAGAACCCCGGCGAGGGGAGUGAAAAAGAACCUGAAACCGUGUACGUACAAGCAGUGGGAGCACGCUUAGGCGUGUGACUGCGUACCUUUUGUAUAAUGGGUCAGCGACUUAUAUUCUGUAGCAAGGUUAACCGAAUAGGGGAGCCGAAGGGAAACCGAGUCUUAACUGGGCGUUAAGUUGCAGGGUAUAGACCCGAAACCCGGUGAUCUAGCCAUGGGCAGGUUGAAGGUUGGGUAACACUAACUGGAGGACCGAACCGACUAAUGUUGAAAAAUUAGCGGAUGACUUGUGGCUGGGGGUGAAAGGCCAAUCAAACCGGGAGAUAGCUGGUUCUCCCCGAAAGCUAUUUAGGUAGCGCCUCGUGAAUUCAUCUCCGGGGGUAGAGCACUGUUUCGGCAAGGGGGUCAUCCCGACUUACCAACCCGAUGCAAACUGCGAAUACCGGAGAAUGUUAUCACGGGAGACACACGGCGGGUGCUAACGUCCGUCGUGAAGAGGGAAACAACCCAGACCGCCAGCUAAGGUCCCAAAGUCAUGGUUAAGUGGGAAACGAUGUGGGAAGGCCCAGACAGCCAGGAUGUUGGCUUAGAAGCAGCCAUCAUUUAAAGAAAGCGUAAUAGCUCACUGGUCGAGUCGGCCUGCGCGGAAGAUGUAACGGGGCUAAACCAUGCACCGAAGCUGCGGCAGCGACACUGUGUGUUGUUGGGUAGGGGAGCGUUCUGUAAGCCUGUGAAGGUGUGCUGUGAGGCAUGCUGGAGGUAUCAGAAGUGCGAAUGCUGACAUAAGUAACGAUAAAGCGGGUGAAAAGCCCGCUCGCCGGAAGACCAAGGGUUCCUGUCCAACGUUAAUCGGGGCAGGGUGAGUCGACCCCUAAGGCGAGGCCGAAAGGCGUAGUCGAUGGGAAACAGGUUAAUAUUCCUGUACUUGGUGUUACUGCGAAGGGGGGACGGAGAAGGCUAUGUUGGCCGGGCGACGGUUGUCCCGGUUUAAGCGUGUAGGCUGGUUUUCCAGGCAAAUCCGGAAAAUCAAGGCUGAGGCGUGAUGACGAGGCACUACGGUGCUGAAGCAACAAAUGCCCUGCUUCCAGGAAAAGCCUCUAAGCAUCAGGUAACAUCAAAUCGUACCCCAAACCGACACAGGUGGUCAGGUAGAGAAUACCAAGGCGCUUGAGAGAACUCGGGUGAAGGAACUAGGCAAAAUGGUGCCGUAACUUCGGGAGAAGGCACGCUGAUAUGUAGGUGAAGUCCCUCGCGGAUGGAGCUGAAAUCAGUCGAAGAUACCAGCUGGCUGCAACUGUUUAUUAAAAACACAGCACUGUGCAAACACGAAAGUGGACGUAUACGGUGUGACGCCUGCCCGGUGCCGGAAGGUUAAUUGAUGGGGUCAGCGCAAGCGAAGCUCUUGAUCGAAGCCCCGGUAAACGGCGGCCGUAACUAUAACGGUCCUAAGGUAGCGAAAUUCCUUGUCGGGUAAGUUCCGACCUGCACGAAUGGCGUAAUGAUGGCCAGGCUGUCUCCACCCGAGACUCAGUGAAAUUGAACUCGCUGUGAAGAUGCAGUGUACCCGCGGCAAGACGGAAAGACCCCGUGAACCUUUACUAUAGCUUGACACUGAACAUUGAGCCUUGAUGUGUAGGAUAGGUGGGAGGCUUUGAAGUGUGGACGCCAGUCUGCAUGGAGCCGACCUUGAAAUACCACCCUUUAAUGUUUGAUGUUCUAACGUUGACCCGUGAUCCGGGUUGCGGACAGUGUCUGGUGGGUAGUUUGACUGGGGCGGUCUCCUCCUAAAGAGUAACGGAGGAGCACGAAGGUUGGCUAAUCCUGGUCGGACAUCAGGAGGUUAGUGCAAUGGCAUAAGCCAGCUUGACUGCGAGCGUGACGGCGCGAGCAGGUGCGAAAGCAGGUCAUAGUGAUCCGGUGGUUCUGAAUGGAAGGGCCAUCGCUCAACGGAUAAAAGGUACUCCGGGGAUAACAGGCUGAUACCGCCCAAGAGUUCAUAUCGACGGCGGUGUUUGGCACCUCGAUGUCGGCUCAUCACAUCCUGGGGCUGAAGUAGGUCCCAAGGGUAUGGCUGUUCGCCAUUUAAAGUGGUACGCGAGCUGGGUUUAGAACGUCGUGAGACAGUUCGGUCCCUAUCUGCCGUGGGCGCUGGAGAACUGAGGGGGGCUGCUCCUAGUACGAGAGGACCGGAGUGGACGCAUCACUGGUGUUCGGGUUGUCAUGCCAAUGGCACUGCCCGGUAGCUAAAUGCGGAAGAGAUAAGUGCUGAAAGCAUCUAAGCACGAAACUUGCCCCGAGAUGAGUUCUCCCUGACUCCUUGAGAGUCCUGAAGGAACGUUGAAGACGACGACGUUGAUAGGCCGGGUGUGUAAGCGCAGCGAUGCGUUGAGCUAACCGGUACUAAUGAACCGUGAGGCUUAACCUUACAACGCCGAAG